rnacentral:sRNA from 1 species
UCCUCGAUCUGGCUCGUCGACAGCAGGUGCACGUGCAUGUCGAUGCCGCCCGCGGUGAGGAUCUUGCCCUCGCCGGCGAUGACAUCGGUGCCCGGCCCGAUCUCGAGCUCUGGGUGUACGCCGUCAGCGAUGUCCGGGUUGCCGGAGCGGCCAAGCGCGACAAUGCGUCCGCCGCGGAUGCCGACGUCGGCGCGCACGACACCCCAGUGGUCGAGCACGAUCGCGUUGGUGAUGACCGUGUCGAGGGCACCGUCGGCGCUGCUCCGUAGCCCCUGAGCCAUCGACUCGCGGA